GCAGAGAUUUAACCUUGUACCUUUUGCAUCAUGAUUUAGCUAGCACCCUUAAGCAAAGAGCCCUUUAGUUUAUUCCCCCGAAACUAGGUGAGCUACUUCAAGACAGCCUAUUAAUAGGGCAAACCCGUCUCUGUGGCAAAAGAGUGGGAAGAUCUUCGAGUAGAGGUGACAGACCUACCGAACCCAGUUAUAGCUGGUUGACUGAGAAUUGGAUAGAAGUUCAGCCUCCCGGCUUCUCCCUCAACCGAGAGAGUUAGUUAAAGGGGGUACAGCCCCUUUAAAAAAAGAUACAACUUUAACAGGCGGAUAAAGAUCAUAAUUAACCAAGGAGAUAUAUUUUAGUGGGCCUAAAAGCAGCCAUCCUGAAAGAAAGCGUUAAAGCUCAAAUAUAAAUACUGAUCUCCCCAAUCUUAAUCCCCUCCUAAAUAUCAGUCUAUUCUAUGCCCCCAUAGAAGAAACUAUGCUAAUAUGAGUAAUAAGAGAACCCUCUCUCCCCGCACAUGUGUAAAUCGGAACGGACCUCCCACCGAAAACUAACGGCCCCAAACCAAGAGGGCACUGAAAAUGAACUAGAAAAGGAUUCACCGUUAAUUCUACACUGAUGUGCACCCAAGGAAAGACUAAAAGAAAAAGAAGGAACUCGGCAAACAAGCCUCGCCUGUUUACCAAAAACAUCGCCUCUUGCAAGAAUAAGAGGUCCCGCCUGCCCAGUGACAACAGUUCAACGGCCGCGGUAUUUUGACCGUGCUAAGGUAGCGUAAUCACUUGUCUUUUAAAUGAAGACCUGUAUGAAUGGCAUAACGAGGGCUUAACUGUCUCCUUUUUCAAGUCAAUGAAAUUGAUCUCCCCGUGCAGAAGCGGGGAUAAACACAUAAGACGAGAAGACCCUAUGGAGCUUUAGAUGUUAAGACAGCCUAUGUUAAGAGUACCCAAUAAAGGAUUAAACUAAAUAGGCUCUGCCUAAAUGUCUUCGGUUGGGGCGACCUUGGGGAAACACAAAACCCCCACGAGGAACAGGAGCACUCCUAGAAAUUAGAACUACACUUCUAAUAAACAGAACUUCUGACCAAAAAUGAUCCGGCAAAGCCGAUCAACGAACCAAGUUACCCUAGGGAUAACAGCGCAAUCCCCUUUUAGAGUCCAUAUCGACAAGGGGGUUUACGACCUCGAUGUUGGAUCAGGACAUCCUAAUGGUGCAG
rnacentral:rRNA from 1 species